rnacentral:rRNA from 1 species
GAUGAACGCUGGCGGCGUGCCUAAUACAUGCAAGUCGAGCGAACAGACGAGGAGCUUGCUCCUCUGACGUUAGCGGCGGACGGGUGAGUAACACGUGGAUAACCUACCUAUAAGACUGGGAUAACUUCGGGAAACCGGAGCUAAUACCGGAUAAUAUAUUGAACAGCAUGGUUCAAUAGUGAAAGACGGUUUUGCUGUCACUUAUAGAUGGAUCCGCGCCGCAUUAGCUAGUUGGUAAGGUAACGGCUUACCAAGGCAACGAUGCGUAGCCGACCUGAGAGGGUGAUCGGCCACGCUGGAACUGAGACACGGUCCAGACUCCUACGGGAGGCAGCAGUAGGGAAUCUUCCGCAAUGGGCGAAAGCCUGACGGAGCAACGCCGCGUGAGUGAUGAAGGUCUUCGGAUCGUAAAACUCUGUUAUUAGGGAAGAACAAAUGUGUAAGUAACUAUGCACGUCUUGACGGUACCUAAUCAGAAAGCCACGGCUAACUACGUG